rfam:Streptomyces cattleya DSM 46488, complete genome.
GGGGAUGAUCGGUUUCGACUGGAGCUGUCGAGACAGGGGAAGCGAGCCGAGGAAGCGGCAAUGAUCUCGUAAACCACGUGUCGCAAAAAAAUAAUCGCCAACAACAAGCGCGAUUCCUUCGCCCUCGCUGCCUAAGUAGCGACUCGCGAAGUGUCAGCCCGGGAGUGUUCCCGGCCCGGUGUCUGGCAUCAGCUAGGGGACUAAACCACUAGGUCCGGCCACGGGAUCUGGUGGGAAAUCAAACAGUGGCUGAGCCCGUCGGCGGCUUGUCUGCGUGACCGCCGGGGCUGAGAAAAGCACAGCAGACUGCGCUCGGAGAAGCCCUGUUUCCGCACUUCAGGACGCGGGUUCGAUUCCCGCCAUCUCCACUC